UCCGGUUUAUCACCGGCAGUUCCGCUAGAGUGCCCAACUAAAUGCUGGCAACUAGUGGUAAGGGUUGCGCUCGUUGCGGGACUUAACCCAACAUCUCACGACACGAGCUGACGACAGCCAUGCAGCACCUUCCCAGGCGCCCCUUGCGGGGGGGCCGUAUCUCUACGGCUUGCACCUGGGAUUUAACCCAGGUAAGGUUCUUCGCGUUGCGUCGAAUUAAACCACAUGCUCCACCGCUUGUGCGGGUCCCCGUCAAUUCCUUUGAGUUUUAACCUUGCGGCCGUACUCCCCAGGCGGUCGACUUCACGCGUUAGCUUCGUUACUGAGAGUGUCAAACCCCCAACAACCAGUCGACAUCGUUUAGGGCGUGGACUAC
rnacentral:misc_RNA from 1 species